rnacentral:misc_RNA from 1 species
GUGAAUCAUCAAAUCUUUGAACGCAAAUUGCACUCUCCUCUGAGAGUAUGCCUGUUUGAGGGUCAGCCUAUAAAAAAUCGACAUCGUUGCUGUUUCGCGGUGGCGUUCGUCGGAAAUUGGGUCAUCUUCGAUCCUUUUGGUUUUUAAGCGACUUAAAAUUUUCUUUUUGGUUCUAUGAACGUUUCUAAGAUUUAUUUCUUUACACGUUUAAGGUAUCGAUUUUUAUUAGACGUGACCAUCAUAUCGGAUCGCGUCCAUAAUCUUUCUUAAACUGACC